rnacentral:misc_RNA from 1 species
GAUGAAGAACGCAGCGAAAUGCGAUAAGUAAUGUGAAUUGCAGAAUUCAGUGAAUCAUCGAAUCUUUGAACGCACAUUGCGCCCGCGAGUAUUCUGGCGGGCAUGCCUGUCUGAGCGUCAUUUCAACCCUCAUGCCCCUAGGGCGUGGUGUUGGGGAUCGGCCAAAGCCCGCGAGGGACGGCCGGCCCCUAAAUCUAGUGGCGGACCCGUCGUGGCCUCCUCUGCGAAGUAGUGAUAUUCCGCAUCGGAGAGCGAUGAGCCCCUGCCGUUAAACCCCCAACUUUCCAAGGUUGACCUCAGAUCAGGUAGGAAUACCCGCUGAACUUAAGCAUAUCAAUAAGCGGAGGA